rnacentral:rRNA from 1 species
CCUACGGGCCGCACCAGUGGGGAAUUUUCCGCAAUGGGCGAAAGCCUGACGGAGCAAUGCCGCGUGGAGGUAGAAGGCCCACGGGCCGUGAACUUCUUUUCCCGGAGAAGAAGCAAUGACGGUACCUGAUCAGAAAGCCACGGCUAACUACGUGCCAGCAGCCGCGGUAAUACGUAGGUGGCAAGCGUUAUCCGGAAUUAUUGGGCGUAAAGCGCGCGUAGGCGGUUUUUUAAGUCUGAUGUGAAAGCCCACGGCUCAACCGUGGAGGGUCAUUGGAAACUGGAAAACUUGAGUGCAGAAGAGGAAAGUGGAAUUCCAUGUGUAGCGGUGAAAUGCGCAGAGAUAUGGAGGAACACCAGUGGCGAAGGCGACUUUCUGGUCUGUAACUGACGCUGAUGUGCGAAAGCGUGGGGAUCAAACAGGAUUAGAUACCCCCGUAGUC